UCAUGCCAUCCCAGGCAGACCUACAAUGCUAACAGUAGGCAGAUGUGCAAAUGAAAAAAAAUAUAACCACUCCUUUUCUUUGUGUGGAAGAAAAAGUUGACCAUCACAAUAUCCUCAAAGGCUUGUAUUUUCCAGCACAUACGAUGCUAUUGGAUGAUUACACAUUAGCUGCAGUCAGCUGCACUAAACUGAAACAUGGAAAUCAACAACUACAAGGAUGUGUUGCGUGCUUUUGGCUUUUCUUCUGGCUGGACUACAUGCUGCAAAGAGAAUGAAAAAAACACGAUCAGCAUGCAAUAGUGGCUGACACAAGAGAUGACAGCUUCAGACACGGAUGUAUAUUAUAUACUAUUUAGGUUUUUGGUGAUUAACAGUAGAAACUGGCAAAUCUCAGUAUAGGAUUGGCUAUAAGCAUUGUCCUUGGUGUGAGAUUGAAGGUGCAAUGGACCUGGGAUAAGUGACUGGUACUUUGAAACUGGAAGUAACCUAAAUAUUGCUGUGAUUCCUGGAGUAAGAGACCAUAUUCCACAAAGAUAAACGAACAUGCUAAAAAAAAUUAACAUGCUGCAAAACAGUCUUAUCUUAUUCCUAUAAUGGCUUACGAAAAAGUCGUUCAGAAUUAUAAGGAGAGCCUCGCAACUUAAAGAUUUGUAAGUAUAUGACGGAUCUGUAGAAUGUGAGAAAUGUUGCUGACUCAGCACCUGGCCAGAUGCUCAUAGCCCUGGCAGCCCCAUUAAAGUAAAUACGUUGUGAUGACUAUGUGCAGGUCUAAACUACCGCUUAAGUCAAUUUAACUUGCAUUGUUCAGGGGUGUGAAAAAUCCCCCUCCCCCAAGUGACGCAAGUUUUGCGCUUCUACACCGGCACUAUGUCAGUGGGAUAUGCUCUCCUAUUAACAUAGCUGACGCUUCUCACCGAGGUGGAGUAAUUAUUCUGAUGGGAGCGUGCUCUCCUGUCGGCAUAACAUGUCUUCACCAGAUGCGCUACCGUUAGGCAGCUGUGCCAACGAAGUGCUAUAGUGUAGACUUGCCCUAAGUGCAUGUGCUAACCGACCUUAGAUUUUGCCCUGUAUUUUCCAGAGCUACUUACAUAAGAC